rnacentral:tRNA from 1 species
GGGUAUAGCUCAGUGGUAGAGCGCAUACGAGGUCUUGGGUUCAAUUCCCAGUACCUCCA